GGCCGCGGAGGGAGGAGUCGAGUUACCCCCAGCUAUAGCCCAACCCACGCAUGCCCGAUUUUAGAAAGAGCCGAAAAUUCUAGCUAGCUAGGGGCCGGGCCGGGGGCCACGCGCGCGCCUGCUGCUGCUGCCCGGUGGGUGGAUGGCCGGCGGGGCGGGCGAGCGCGCGAGCGCCUCCCCCUCGAUCUGGCACAGCGCAGCGGCGCCGUACCGCAUCAUUGCACACCGUAGCCCUAGCCAAGCUGCCAGCCCGCCGCGCCCCGCUGCCCUGCCGCCUAUAUAGCCGGCCCGGCCGGAGCCCCGAUCCCUGCGACGACGCCCGCCCAUCUCGCCAUGGCGCGCCUCCUCGAUCGGCUAGCUGCGCUGCUAGCUGCCAGCAGCUCGCGAGACGCGUGCGGUGAUCGCGGCGGCGGCGGGGAUGCUGCGGGCGGGCGCGGCCGGCUGCCGAUCGGCGGGCGGCGCGCGCGGGCGGUGACAGAAGAGAGUGAGCACCCGGCCGGGCGGAACGGCACCGGCGGGAUGUGCCGUCGCGGCCGCGUGCUCACUGCUCUAUCUGUCAUCCUCCACUCUCUCCCCCGCGCCCGCCUUGCCGAUCGGAGCUAGCUAGCCGUCGUGGCGCCUCUCCGCAGAAACACUCGCGCCGCCGUCGCGAUCACCGCACCGGCGGGAACGCGCGGCGAGCGCGGCCGCCCCCGGCCGGUGAUCUCUCCAUCUCCUUGCCCGUGUGUCAUUGUAUGCCGCGGAAUUGCCACCACUGCGUCGUGAAUUGUCAUUGUAUGCCGCACGCCAAUCACGAUUAUUGACGAUCCCUUGCUUGUUCCCAAUAAUAGUCUGAUUUGGUUUUCAUGGGGCGUCGCUUCUCCAUCAACGGCAGAUUCAGUUCUGGAGUUUCUUCGAUUCUGGGCUUCCUUCGGCGUAGGAAGAAGGUAGAGAGAGAGAGAGAGAGGAGGAAUUGCAUCUUGUCCCGUGCUGUACCUUCUCCGCGCUUAUUAUUUCGUUAAUUAAUUGAGCCAAUUCAUACGGGGAUUUAGGAAUAAUUCUGUUGGGGCCGCACUGCCACUGAAACAGGUACUUAAUUAUGCUGCGUUAAUGGUUGGUAUUUUUGUUUUAAUUUGCUGUAUCAGCCCUACCCCCUACUUAUAUUGUGGUGUGUAGUACACUACAGUUCAUAUCAUUCUGUAUAGGUUUGCUUUCUCGUCUAUUCUUGCCAUGCACAGCACAUCAGGCUCUCAGCAUUAAUUUGCCAAAAUCAUCAUGUUUGCAAUUUCGGGGGAACGGUGAGAAUCCGAGGGUGACUCUCUUUAUCUGAUCAAUCAAGCGAAGUCAAGCAGGAAGAAAGGCCGCUUCUUGGGUGUGAGCAAUGCCAUAUAUAGGUAAUGGAUGGGUUUGCAACCUCUGCUGGGAGCUUGUGAGCUCGUUUAGAUCAUGAGCUGUAGUAUAUAUGACUGUAUGAGGUAAGUCAAGUCUGUCUUAAUGGUGCUGCGGACCCGGACUAUGUGAUUUAGUGCCAGUGGCCAUUAUGCUGUCAUCGCGAUGCGCUUGCAGCACGUUGGAGUGUUUCGUGCGGUUGAGUGCAGUGCAUACCGCUGAAAUAUCAAGCAGCUGCCACCUUGACAUUGGUAUCCAGUUUGACGCGACGCUCGUUUGCCGGUCCUGUAACGUGCCGAUAGUUCAGAAGAGUUUGAUUCCGAUUCAACAGGGUAGAGUAUGUAUGCAUGGCGUGCUGGAAACUGGAUCAUGUUUGUAUAUGAAGAAGAAAUUGAACUGGUGUAAUUCUCGGCCAUGUUUUUGACUUUGGAAAGUAAGCAACAUGUACAUCGUACAUUCCUAUUCAUCUUAUGGGGUUUCCUCGCACAGGCUCCACACUGAUGUUACUUAAUCAGCGCGGUACCCGUAUGCUGAUGAUGAUGCCUCUCGAUUUGAUGAUUGGCCAGAUGGUAUAUGUGGACUCAGCAAAUUGUAACCUUUUGCUCUUCAUUUUUACACGUGCAAGCACAUUUGUAGCUCCAGCCUUCCAGAGAACGGUAGGGACUAGGUUGCUGUACAAGUGUAGAGACACACUGUUCCAUUCAUGGUGUCUCGUACUUAUCUCUUCAAUGAGAUAUUCCCUAUACUUAUCUUCAGAGUUCUUCAUCUGUGUGUGAACGCUCUUGAUAGUUAAUAGCUAUGUUGUGCAGAAAGUAUGUGUUUCACCUCUUAGUUGUGUCUGUAUUUUGAACCUUCCAUUCCAUAGUGCCAUUUCCAGGU